rnacentral:rRNA from 1 species
ACUCAAAUGAAUUGACGGGGGCCCGCACAAGCGGUGGAACAUGUGGUUCAAUUCGAAGCUACGCGAAAAACCUCACCAGGGCUUGACAUAUAGGAAGUAGUGAAGUGAAAGCGGAACGACCCGUUAAGUCGGGAGCCUAUACAGGUGCUGCAUGGCUGUCGUCAGCUCGUGUCGUGAGAUGUUGGGUUAAGUCCCGCAACGAGCGCAACCAUUGUCCUUUGUUGCCACCUCUCUUGCCGUAAGGUUAAGAGAGAGCACUCUAAGGAGACUGCCCGGGAUAACCGGGAGGAAGGUGGAGAUGACGUCAAGUCAGUACGGCCUUUAUGCCCUGGGCUACACACGUGUUACAAUGGGUGGUACAAAGGGUUGCCAACCCGCGAGGGGGAGCUAAUCUCAAAAAACCACCCCCAGUUCAGAUCGGAGUCUGCAAUUCGACUCCGUGAAGCCGGAAUCGCUAGUAAUGGCGGAUCAGCACGCCGCCGUGAAUACGUUCCCGGGCCUUGUACACACCGCCCGU